GAACUUAGCAGAGAUGCUUUGGUGCCUUCGGGAACUCUGAGACAGGUGCUGCAUGGCUGUCGUCAGCUCGUGUUGUGAAAUGUUGGGUUAAGUCCCGCAACGAGCGCAACCCUUAUCCUUUGUUGCCAGCGGCUCGGCCGGGAACUCAAAGGAGACUGCCGGUGAUAAACCGGAGGAAGGUGGGGAUGACGUCAAGUCAUCAUGGCCCUUACGGCCAGGGCUACACACGUGCUACAAUGGCGCAUACAAGAGAAGCGACCUCGCGAGAGCAAGCGGACCUCACAAAGUGCGUCGUAGUCCGGAUUGGAGUCUGCAACUCGACUCCAUGAAGUCGGAAUCGCUAGUAAUCGUAGAUCAGAAUGCUACGGUGAAUACGUUCCCGGGCCUUGUACACACCGCCCGUCACACCAUGGGAGUGGGUUGCAAAAGAAGUAGGUAGCUUAACCUUCGGGAGGGCGCUUACCACUUUGUGAUUCAUGACUGGGGUGAAGUCGUAACAAGGUAGGCGUAGCGAG
rnacentral:rRNA from 1 species